GGUACCUACAGAAGAAGUCCUGGCUAACUCCGUGCCAGCAGCCGCGGUAAUACGGAGAGGGCUAGCGUUAUUCGGAAUUAUUGGGCGUAAAGGGCGCGUAGGCGGAUUAGUAAGUUAAAAGUGAAAUCCCAAGGCUCAACCUUGGAAUUGCUUUUAAAACUGCUAAUCUAGAGAUUGAAAGAGGAUAGAGGAAUUCCUAGUGUAGAGGUGAAAUUCGUAAAUAUUAGGAGGAACACCAGUGGCGAAGGCGUCUAUCUGGUUCAAAUCUGACGCUGAAGCGCGAAGGCGUGGGGAGCAAACAGGAUUAGAUACCCUGGUAGUCCACGCUGUAAACGAUGAGUGCUA
rnacentral:rRNA from 1 species